UCAUUUAUCUAUUUAUUUAUUUAUUUAUUUUGUUAAUUAAACAAUUUAUUUCUAUUUAUUUACUUAGGGCAAGGAAAUGAGCAAGUAGGGUUAUUGGAGCCUGACCCACACCCGGGUCAGAAGGUGGCGGUAAUGCCCGUUGUAAAGGUGGCCAACCGCCGUUAAACUCCACGAAGAAGAAGAAGAAGAAGAAGAAGAAGAAGAAGAAGACAGUUCUUCCUUUGCGCCUCCGUCACCUCUCCGGCCCCCUGUAUGCGCUGCUGCGUGUGUCUGUGGUAGGUGUCCUCUCUCUGCGGUAUGGUUGAUGCUGUCCGGUGGCUAAUGCUAGUGUGAUCACAGGUAAAUGCUGGUGGCUGCCAGGGGUCCUCUCUCCCUCCCUCCUCUCGUGUGUGUGUGUGUCCAUCGCUGCUAAAAAGGAAUUACUGUAACCAGCUUAUUGGGGCGCUGCUGUUUUGUCUCCACUGCGGCUGCUGCCUCCCCUGCUUCUGCUGUUUUGUCUCCACUGCGGCUGCUGCUGCCUCCCCUGCUUCUGCUGUUUUGUCUCCACUGCGGCUGCUGCUGUCUCCCCUGCUUCUGCUGUUUUGUCUGCUGUUUUGUCUCCGCUGUGGCUGCUGCUUUGCCUCCACCGCGUCUGCGGCGUGUCUCUGCUGCGGCUUCGCUUUUAUGGCACAGCGCCACGCGGCGGUCUUAUAAACCACUUUGUAGCUCUGCUUCAACAAAAUAGACCCUUGGUGACUGUUUCAACGUCCGGUGCGGGCAGUUGCUCGGCCGCACGCCGGGGCAUGGUUCUCUAUUUAUAUGGAAUGCAUGUGUGAAAGCGUGGGUUUUCACCAUUAUUUUUGCUUAUUUGUAUAGGUUUAUUUGUAUGUUUUGUUUGGGUUGAACUUGAUUCGGUCUGUUUGUGUAACUCAUUUGCUAAUUAAUUGAAUUAAUUUGAAAGGUCCUUGAUGCAAUUAGGAAACUGUUUUGUUUUUCUGUUCUUUAGCCUUAUUUUCUUUUUUGUUUGGGCUAUAUUUGUUUGAAUCCGAAUUGGGUAGUUAUUGGUUGAUAUAUUUUGUUGAGUUUAAGUUUGUGCCCUGCCCCUUUAAUUAUAAUUUUGUUAGAUUUUGCUUUGUGUUUUUGUUGCAACCCCAUUAAUUUGUUUUAUCUUCCCCUCUUUUCAGUGGCUGGAGGCCGGUGGUGGCGGUGUUGGUGAUCUGGUGUUGGCACCCUUCUGUCUUGUCUGCUGUGUUCCUGGGAGUGGGUUACUUCACUGAGUGUGUGUCUGCCACGUGUGUCCGGUGAUAUAAGUUGAUUUCUGUUUUUUUUUGGUGGAUCCUUCCCCUGCACUAGGCCCCGUCCAUCAACUAGGCCUCAGCCCUGAUCAGUUUCCUUUUCCCCUCCCUGCGUGACAUUUUUAAUUAUGGUUUUUACCCAAUUUGUUUAAUAAAGUGUAUUUUUAUCAAUUGGAA